UAAUACGGAGGGUGCAAGCGUUGUCCGGAUUUAUUGGGUUUAAAGGGUGCGUAGGCGGUCUGGUAAGUCGGCGGUGAAAGCCCGGGGCUCAACCCCGGAACUGCCAUCGAUACUGUCAGACUUGAGUGUGGUUGAGGGUGGCGGAAUGGGCGGUGUAGCGGUGAAAUGCAUAGAUACCGUCCAGAACCCCGAUUGCGAAGGCAGCUGCCUAAGCCACAACUGACGCUGAGGCACGAAAGCGUGGGGAGCAAACAGGAUUAGAUACCCUGGUAGUCCACGCCGUAAACGAUGGAUACUCGCUGUGGGCGAUAGACAGUCCGCGGCUGAGCGAAAGCGCUAAGUAUCCCACCUGGGGAGUACGCCGGCAACGGUG
rnacentral:rRNA from 1 species